rnacentral:snRNA from 1 species
AAAACACGAAUCAACUUCAG